rnacentral:lncRNA from 1 species
AGUGCCUACGUACUUUUCAAAAUUUUAAAAAUAUUUAAUUUAUUUUUUUAGUUCUAAUAUACCUUCUAUAUAUAUUUUUUCGCUAUUCAAAAAUAUUCUCAAAGUUACCGUCUGUUGAGUUAUCUCGCGUUAAACGUGAGUUAAAUACCUAUCAGAAUUAAAAGAAAUCAAAAUGCCUCUUUUGCCCUUAACUUAAGGGCAAAUAAGAAAAAUUGGUGAUGGUAGAAAGGUAUAUUUGAAAAGACUAAAAAUCAGAAUACUUUUUUUUGCCCCUAACUUAGGCGCAAAUAAGAAAAGCUGGUGAUGUUAGAAGGGUAUAUUUAAAAGGAUAAAAUAGUAAUUUUUCAAAAAUAACGGCUAUUGCUAAUCGUUUACUAAUAAAAUUUAACUCUAUUAGUAAAAAAGAUACAUUUAAUAUUAGCCUUUUAAGAGAGAUAAAUUAGAAAGUCGAAAAUUUUAAUGAGCUAUAUUUGAAAUAAAUUGGAAAGUAAAGAAGAUAAUUUUAAUAUUAGUCUUCUAAGAAAGAUAAAUCAGAAAGUCGGAAAUUUUCCAGAGCUAUAUAAGCA